GCUCCUUUCCCAGCGAGCAGCCACACACACACACUCCUGCUCGUGCUUGCCCAAGGACAGCAGCUACCCAGGGUAUUCUGGUUUGUAUUGGUGCUUCUUGCAGCCAACAUAAAAAUGAAGGGACUUGACUGUCAAGAAGGACUCCUUGCCUUCACUGGAAAUAAUUCAGCAUCCUACAGGCUUUGAGCAGCAGAAAAUCACGAAGGACUGGGAAGCUGGUCAGGGUAUCCCAGCAGUGCUGGCCCCUCACUGGGGUAAAGCGAUGGGCCCUAUAGUGCACUGUGGUGCCCGACUCCUCCGCUUCGGGUCUGCCCGUUGGAACAGCCACUGCAUCCACAGCUCCCCACCCGAGGAGAAAGUGGGACUGGUGGAGACGAUCGUUGGAUUCUCAGCAUUUUCACUGGCAGUUCUUGGACCGGCUGGAUGGGUCCUGUGCCACCUUUCAAGCUAUAAAAAGAAACAGAAAACAUCCCUUCAAGAUUAAGAUCUGGAGGCUGCAAUAAGCUGUAAUGCUCCUAAAUUGGAGUCUCUUGAAAGGGAGAACACAGGGGCUCGAGGGUCACUUUAAAACAAAAUGACUGAGCCGUGAGUUCAGGUUUUAAGUACGUUGCACUGCUUCUGUAAGAAAAAAAAGAGUCCAGAUAGAGAAUAUGGCUAACUAAAGUCCCAGCUCACACACUAUCAUCUGUCCUGUGGCUCAGGUCCCAGGUCAGAAAGCUUUUGCAAGACCAGAUAUAAAAUGGUGUAGUGAUGCAAAAUAGUAGUAGUUCUGCUCUUCCAUUUCCUGCUGCAGCUGGAUCAGUCCGAAUCUGUCAUCAGGUACCAUCAAAGCUUUACACUAAAUAAAUGGGAGAAAAUACAAACAUUUAUUUAAUAGCACUUUCAUUUAUACUAAUCUCAGACAAAAACUCAGAGAAUCUAAAAUGAUUCUCUUAAAAGUUUAUCUUUAACCUUUACAUGUGUUCUUUUUGAUGUGUUCCCCCACCUAAUCUACUUUUCCAGCAGAAUAGAUGUUUUUAUACAGGUCAUGGUUGUCAGAUACUUCAAUUAAUUUUCAAUUUUUAGAUUAAAAUUUGUGACAUUUGAGUGAUUUUCCCAUGGUUGUUAUUUGUAAUGAAUGCUAUGAUACUUUGAAGUCUAGACUAUAUUUGAAACAAGUACAAUAAAUAAUACUUGUUAUGCCAUGUUAUAUGUGUUAUAAAGGAAUGUCUUCUAAUACUUUCAUGUCUGUCUUGCAAAAAAUACAGAAUAUUAACCUUUUGUGAUGCUUAAAUAUUAUUGCAGUUGUGAUGAUUAAGUAUUAGUAGAAUAUGAUUUAUAAUUCCACCAAGUCAUUUGCAAUGUGUAAUAGCAAAAUAGAUUCUGAAAGGAGGGCUGUAAAUGUGUAAAAGUGUCCAUUCUUGCUGUACUUCUGAAGUAUGAUUUACAACUAAAUUGUCUGAGUUCCCUUUGGUCUUUUAGACACAACUGAAGUUUUCAGAGUGAAAGUGGAGGCACCCUGAUUGUUUAAAGAAAGUAGUAUUUGUUUAUUCUUUCCAAAAAACUGUAGCUUUGUCACUGAAUUGAAUGGCCUGCGCUGAAAGCUGCGUUACAUAUGUGGAAAGUUUCCUGCAGUUCUUAAUUUUGGGUAGGUGCCUACAUUCCUGGUAUCCAGAGAAAAACCCGUGCCAGUGUCUGAAAUGCAGCUGGGUGGAUAUUCUGUGAAAGUGUGCUCCUGCACACUGUGAGAGCAUCCACUGAAAUCAAUGGGGCUGUUUUGCAGAAUCUUUUGUAAAAAAUGGUUUUGAAUAUUUCAGUGUGCCUGCUUGUCCUGCAUCUGGUUUGGUCAUCCAUCUCUCACCCAGUAAUAUCUAAAUAAAUCAUUAAGAUAUGACAUUUCA